UGGGGAAUAUUGCACAAUGGGGGAAACCCUGAUGCAGCGACGCCGCGUGAGCGAAGAAGAUCUUCGGAUUGUAAAGCUCUGUCUUAGGGGACGAUAAUGACGGUACCCUGAGAGGAAGCCACGGCUAACUACGUGCCAGCAGCCGCGGUAAUACGUAGGUGGCAAGCGUUGUCCGGAAUUACUGGGUGUAAAGGGAGCGCAGGCGGGUAAGCAAGUUGGAAGUGAAACUCAUGGGCUCAACCCAUGACCUGCUUUCAAAACUGUUUAUCUUGAGUGGUGUAGAGGUAGGCGGAAUUCCCGGUGUAGCGGUGGAAUGCGUAGAUAUCGGGAGGAACACCAGUGGCGAAGGCGGCCUACUGGGCACUAACUGACGCUGAGGCUCGAAAGCAUGGGUAGC
rnacentral:rRNA from 1 species